rnacentral:rRNA from 1 species
ACGCUCGACACCUACGGGAGACAGCAGUGAGGAAUAUUGGUCAAUGGACGCAAGUCUGAACCAGCCAUGCCGCGUGCAGGAUGACGGCUCUAUGAGUUGUAAACUGCUUUUGUACGAGGGUAAACGCAGAUACGUGUAUCUGUCUGAAAGUAUCGUACGAAUAAGGAUCGGCUAACUCCGUGCUAGCAGCCGCGGUAAUCUGAGGCGGGCUGGACAAGGC